AGAGUUUGAUCCUGGCUCAGGACGAACGCUGGCGGCGCGCCUAACACAUGCAAGUCGAACGGAGCUUAGAGAGCUUGCUUUUUAAGCUUAGUGGCGAACGGGUGAGUAACGCGUGAGUAACCUGCCCUGGAGUGGGGGACAACAGUUGGAAACGACUGCUAAUACCGCAUAAGCCCACGGAUCCGCAUGGAUCUGCGGGAAAAGGAUUUAUUCGCUUCAGGAUGGACUCGCGUCCAAUUAGCUAGUUGGUGAGGUAACGGCCCACCAAGGCGACGAUUGGUAGCCGGACUGAGAGGUUGAACGGCCACAUUGGGACUGAGACACGGCCCAGACUCCUACGGGAGGCAGCAGUGGGGGAUAUUGCACAAUGGGGGAAACCCUGAUGCAGCGACGCCGCGUGGAGGAAGAAGGUUUUCGGAUUGUAAACUCCUGUCGUUAGGGACGAUAAUGACGGUACCUAACAAGAAAGCACCGGCUAACUACGUGCCAGCAGCCGCGGUAAAACGUAGGGUGCAAGCGUUGUCCGGAAUUACUGGGUGUAAAGGGAGCGCAGGCGGACCGGCAAGUUGGAAGUGAAAACUAUGGGCUCAACCCAUAAAUUGCUUUCAAAACUGCUGGCCUUGAGUAGUGCAGAGGUAGGUGGAAUUCCCGGUGUAGCGGUGGAAUGCGUAGAUAUCGGGAGGAACACCAGUGGCGAAGGCGACCUACUGGGCACCAACUGACGCUGAGGCUCGAAAGCAUGGGUAGCAAACAGGAUUAGAUACCCUGGUAGUCCAUGCCGUAAACGAUGAUUACUAGGUGUUGGAGGAUUGACCCCUUCAGUGCCGCAGUUAACACAAUAAGUAAUCCACCUGGGGAGUACGACCGCAAGGUUGAAACUCAAAGGAAUUGACGGGGGCCCGCACAAGCAGUGGAGUAU
rnacentral:rRNA from 1 species